rnacentral:sRNA from 1 species
GGACAGUCAUCGCCGAGUCCCCGCAUGGCGCGAGCCAGGGGAGCCGGGGACCCAAACUAGGCAGUCCCUGGGGUGAAUCGGACGCCCGCGCGUUUCGCGAGGGGGUCCGUAGGAGACCUUCCUGCUCCGAACCCGUCAGCUAACCCGGUAGGCGAGAGGGAAGGAAAGG